rnacentral:rRNA from 1 species
UACAGAGGUCUCAAGCGUUGUUCGGAUUCAUUGGGCGUAAAGCGCGCGUAGGCGGCUCGGAAAGUCGGGCGUGAAAUGCCGGGGCUCAACCCCGGGACUGCGUCCGAUACUUCCGAGCUGGAGGUAGGUAGGGGAGAUCGGAAUUCCUGGUGUAGCGGUGAAAUGCGCAGAUAUCAGGAGGAACACCGGUGGCGAAGGCGGAUCUCUGGGCCUUACCUGACGCUGAGGCGCGAAAGCUAGGGGAGCGAACGGG